rnacentral:tRNA from 1 species
GGAGAGAUGUCCGAGUGGCUUAAGGAGCACGCUUGGAAAGCGUGUGUAUCUCAAAAGGGUACCGAGGGUUCGAAUCCCUCUCUCUCCGCAA